UGAAAGGCGAAACGUAAUGUGAAUCGCAACUAACAGUGAAUCAUCGAAUCUUUGAACGCAGGCCGCACCUUGUAACAACACCCCGUGUUAUUGCAAGGUAUCUACGUAUGAGUGUCAGCCCAAUACAAAUUUUGUUCACCCAAAGCUGUAUCAAGCUUCUGGUGAAUAUACAUGGUACCUUGACAGGUAUAUCAAAUGUCUUGUCUGGCCUCAUAUGUGGAAGGUUACCCGCUGGAUUUAA
rnacentral:misc_RNA from 1 species